GACGAACGCUGGCGGGAUGCCUUACACAUGCAAGUCGAACGGCAGCGCGGACUUCGGUCUGGCGGCGGGUGGCGAACGGGUGAGUAAUGUAUCGGAACGUGCCCAGUAGCGGGGGAUAACUACUCGAAAGAGUAGCUAAUACCGCAUACGCCCUACGGGGGAAAGGGGGGGAUCGCAAGACCUCUCACUAUUGGAGCGGCCGAUAUCGGAUUAGCUAGUUGGUGAGGUAAAGGCUCACCAAGGCGACGAUCCGUAGCUGGUUUGAGAGGACGACCAGCCACACUGGGACUGAGACACGGCCCAGACUCCUACGGGAGGCAGCAGUGGGGAAUUUUGGACAAUGGGGGCAACCCUGAUCCAGCCAUUCCGCGUGUGCGAUGAAGGCCUUCGGGUUGUAAAGCACUUUUGGCAGGAAAGAAAUCGCACGGAUUAAUACUCUGUGUGGAUGACGGUACCUGCAGAAUAAGCACCGGCUAACUACGUGCCAGCAGCCGCCGUAA
rnacentral:rRNA from 1 species